AAAAAAUUUAAAAUGAAUGUUUCGUUCCCUUUAGGUAUGAGUGGAAGAAAACGCUGCUGCGAGUACGGGUUUCGUGGCUAUGGUGGCUUCGGUGGCUACAGUUUGGGUAUAGGUGGGUCAUGUGACUAGUGUGCUAAUGCUACAAUGUGUGCAAACUACAAGGGAGGCUUUAAUUUGGACCACCGAUUGGACGUGGGGGCUGCAACUGUGGAUGCUCUCCGAGUCUUACAUUUCCUUGUGUAUUUGGUGCUUGUGUCAACAAUCCAGGCUGCGAGUGCUGUAAGAAGCCUCCCAGAGGCAAAUGUAUCUGGCCAUGUAUGUGGUCAUGCUGCUGCGAGUACGAUCCACCUAAGUUCAAGUUGAAAGCUCUAGGGCCCAAGUCAGUGUGCCAAUGUCCAAACAGGCGUUGUUGCAGAAAACGCCCGACCCAAACAAAUAACUAAGGUCCUGUUAAACGAAACCUGCUAAACUCUAUUGGUGGGCCGUUUCCAAAAGCUUUUCCUCCAUUCAGUUUCCCAAUUGUCAACGGCCUUCAAAUCAAGCCUCAAGGUUUUCUUCAAGUUCCAAGUCAUCUAGAAACCAGUCCACAAGUAUAAUCCAAAAGAUCAUGAUAAUAACGGCCACAGAAGUAUUGCCAUCCAGUAACACUUGAGAAAUUUUCAGCCAUGUUAUCCUUUCGAUCACAGCAGAAGAAUAAAGAUCCAACGACUAUACUGCUUUAUUUAUCAAAAGAAUGUGUAAUAAAGGUUGAAUAAAGUAUCAUUGAAGCCGUGCGCGCUUGCUUGUUACGUAUAACUUGAAAUGUAUUGAGAUAAAUCCCUUCACCGGAAAAAGAAAAACAUCGUGGGAAAGUAAUAUCGUGUCCCUUAAACACUACUCAAAGCCGGUAAGUCUGGGAAGUUUGCAAGAUGGGAGUGCACUUGCACACAUUAAGGUAACCUUGGUUGGAAGCACAUCUUAAAUGGUCACUUUCUUGAUACUCCAAGCGAUAUUACUUAGCAGCUACACAGAGAAAAACGCAACAGCAAAGAUUUACAAGGCACUUCUAAGAAAACACUUAAUUUGGCGGUAAACCCCAAUUCAGUGUGAAUUGUCAAAUGAUAACUCCUCUUUUGUCAUGUUUCUCGAAGUUGUACUGCGUUUUCUUAGUCUGUGCUAUUUAA